GAUGAGCGCUGGCGGCGUGCCUAAUACAUGCAAGUCGAGCGAACGGACGAGAAGCUUGCUUCUCUGAUGUUAGCGGCGGACGGGUGAGUAACACGUGGAUAACCUACCUAUAAGACUGGGAUAACUUCGGGAAACCGGAGCUAAUACCGGAUAAUAUUUUGAACCGCAUGGUUCAAAAGUGAAAGACGGUCUUGCCGUCACUUCUAGAUGGAUCCGCGCUGCAUUAGCUAGUUGGUAAGGUAACGGCUUACCAAGGCAACGAUGCAUAGCCGACCUGAGAGGGUGAUCGGCCACACUGGAACUGAGACACGGUCCAGACUCCUACGGGAGGCAGCAGUAGGGAAUCUUCCGCAAUGGGCGAAAGCCUGACGGAGCAACGCCGCGUGAGUGAUGAAGGUCUUCGGAUCGUAAAACUCUGUUAUUAGGGAGGAACAUAUGUGUAAGUAACUGUGCACAUCUUGACGGUACCUAAUCAGAAAGCCACGGCUAACUACGUG
rnacentral:rRNA from 1 species